GUGAGACCUUCCCCAGCCACAUGGAACUUCAGAAGUGCCUUUUGCCCUCCACUAUGAUUGUGAGACCUUCCCCAGCUACAUGGACGGGACUUACAGUAUCAUAAGAAAGAUAGACAUUUAAAUCAUCUCAACAAGGACAAUGGACAUCAUGGAAUCACACAGCAGGAGAACCUCGCCUAGUCUACCGAUCAGAUACUCCAUGCAGUUGUCACCUCCUCUAUGAAGCCUCUCCUGCCCCUUCCAAGUAGAACUGUCCAUUCCAUCUGUGGCAGAGUCUGGCUACAUGUUCAUCAAACCCUGUUUCAAAUAUCCUCCUCUGCAUGUCAUUACACUGUAUCUCCCAGCCCCCUUGCAUCUACAUGAGGCCGCAUGACCACAUGCUGGGUCACUUCUGGGCCAAAAUGGUAUUGGAGAGUCCAUCUUCUCCACUCUGGCUCUCUUUCCAUGCACCAGAUAGGUGAUUUUUAGUGAUCUUUAGUGGAAGAUGAAACAGGUCUGUAUCUCUAAAUGACUUUGUGGAGUGGAGCUUCCCUUCCCAAGCUGACCCACAAUAAACUCUGAUGUGAGCAAGAAAUACAU
rnacentral:lncRNA from 10 species